rnacentral:rRNA from 1 species
GUAUACGGCCAUACCAAUCUCCUCUGAUCUCAGAAGCUAAGGUGCAUCAGGCCUGGUUGGUACUUGGGUGGGAGAUUGUAGAAAAUCACAUGCAGGUAUGCU